CUGUCACAGUCAGCAUAUUAUGUCGUAUAUUGAGUUUAAGUAUUCAAUAUUCCUUCAGUCAGCAAUAAUCAUGUUAUAAACCUUAUAAAAGCAUAAAAUACAUAUAAACAAGUUAACUAUUUAAUAUUCUUACAUUCCCCUCUUUGAGCAAUAAAAAAAUUGCUCAUCUUAUCGAUAAAAUCUUACCAGGACAGAGAAACCUCCACAUGGUAUUUUCAGGGGUGCUAGUCACUCCCUGCGGGACUUUCAUUAAUUUCUUCACCUCGAUUCCCAUGUGGUAAUUCCUAAGGCCCAGUUUAAAGAUGG